AGGGGAUCCUUGGGUGAGUUCUUCCGCCGCCCCGCCGCAUUCCUGACUUAUCUUCCCCGAUGUCAGGCAGCAGGUCGGAGCGGAGGAGGAGCUGGUCCAAGGAUCCUUUCCCA
rfam:Nesterenkonia sp. AN1 contig-9, whole genome shotgun sequence.